AUUAAUAAUUAAUAUAUUUAACAACAAUAAUUUUAAUUUAAUAAGUAUUUUCCUGGGGGUUAAAGUAUUUUUUAAAGAACAAAUUUUUAAAUUUAUAGUUAAUUAGUAUUGUGAAAGAAUUUUGAAAUAUUAUGAAAAAUAAAAUUUUUAGAAAGUAAUUUUUAUUUAUUGUAUCUUGUGUAUCAGAGUUUAUUAAAAAUUUUUAAUUUAUGAAUUAAUUUCUCGAAUUUAAAAGAGUUAAAUAAUUAUUAAAGUUAUUGUAGCAAAAUUAUUUUAAAUAAUUAUUUAGAAAUGAAAUGUUAAUCGUUUUUAAAUAUAUCUAGUUUUUAUAGAAAAAAAUUUAAUUUUAAAUUUAAAAAUUAUUUAAUUAAUUUAUUAAUUAAAUAGUUACUUAAAUUUUAUAAUUUAAGGGAUAAGCUUUAAAUUAAAUUUUUAUAAUAUUAAAUUUUUAUUUUGAAAAUUUUAUAAUUUAUAUUGUUAAUAAAUUUUAUUUUGUUAUAAAUAAUUUCAUUUUUUUAAAAUUUAAAUUUUAUUUAAUUUUUUAUAUAAAAUUUAUUUAUAAUUAUAUAAAGUUAAUUAUAAUGAUAAAAUUAGUAUAUUAUUUAAUAUUAAAUUAAAAUUAAUUUUUGAUUAAUAAUUAAAUUAAUUAAAAGGAAUUCGGCAAAUAUUUAUUUUCACUUGUUUAUCAAAAACAUGUCUUUUUGUUAUUUAAUUUAAAGUCUAAUCUGCCCACUGAUUUAUAAAAAUUGAAGGGCUGCAGUAUAUUGACUGUACAAAGGUAGCAUAAUCAUUAGUCUCUUAAUUGGUGACUUGUAUGAAAGAUUGGAUGAAAAAUAUACUGUCUCUUAAUUAAUAUAUAGAAUUUAAUUUUUUAUUUAAAAAGUUAAAAUAACUUAAAAAGACGAGAAGACCCUAUAGAGUUUAAUAAAUUAUUUUAUGAAAGUUUUAUUUAUAUUUAUUAAUAAUUUUAUAAAUUUAUUUAUUUAGUUGGGGUGAUAAAAAAAUAAAUUUAACUUUUUUUAAGUAAUUUACAUGGAUAAGUGAUUAAU
rnacentral:rRNA from 1 species